UCCAAAGUCUUUGUGACUCCAUUUUGAACACCACCUGAUUUUUUUUCAACAAUUCAAAUUGCUCAGCUUUUACGACCAACUGCAUGCACUAUUGUAAUUUCUGUACAGAUUUCAUCAUCUUUGUCUUUUUUGGACUUUGCUUUUUACCACAUUUUUAGAACUAUGGUGAGUUUCUUGCAGCAACUUCAAGUUAAACAACUUUUCACAAAUUUAUCAAAGCCUGACUGCUCCUCUGGGAGUGUGGAUGGAUGGAGCCACUUUUGCUGCCUGCUGGAUGGCCUCCUGCUCAGCCAAGUGUUUUUACCCCAUGGAAUCCAGAGUGGAAGAAGAGCCUCAACAAAGAAAUGUAAAACAAAACAAAACAAAACAAAACAAAACAACCCUAAAAUGAAAAGCUCCAGGGAAGAGUUCAUUGUGAUGAGCGCUUAGGACAACAAAGAGAAGCCCAUGGGGAAUAGGACUUAAGUCCUCGUCAGGAUCCUGAAAAGCUGCCCUGUAACUCCCCAGCUGUAUGACUUC